AUUGAACGCUGGCGGAAUGCUUUACACAUGCAAGUCGAACGGCAGCACGGACUUCGGUCUGGUGGCGAGUGGCGAACGGGUGAGUAACAUAUCGGAACGUAUCCAAUAAUGGGGGAUAACGGGUCGAAAGAUUCGCUAAUACCGCAUACGCCCUACGGGGGAAAGCUGGGGACCUUCGGGCCUGGCGUUAAUGGAGCGGCCGAUAUCUGAUUAGCUAGUUGGUGAGGUAAAGGCUCACCAAGGCGAGGAUAAGUAGCUGGUCUGAGAGGACGACCAGCCACACUGGAACUGAGACACGGUCCAGACUCCUACGGGAGGCAGCAGUGGGGAAUUUUGGACAAUGGGCGCAAGCCUGAUCCAGCCAUUCCGCGUGAGUGAAGAAGGCCUUCGGGUUGUAAAGCUCUUUCGCAAGGGAAGAAAACUUAGCCACUAACAUUGGUUGAGGUUGACGGUACCUUGAUAAGAAGCACCGGCUAACUACGUGCCAGCCGCCGCAGUAA
rnacentral:rRNA from 1 species